UAGAGUUUGAUCCUGGCUCAGGAUGAACGCUAGCGACAGGCUUAACACAUGCAAGUCGAGGGGCAGCACAGGUAGCAAUACCGGGUGGCGACCGGCGCACGGGUGAGUAACGCGUAUGCAACUUACCUAUCAGAGGGGGAUAACCCGGCGAAAGUCGGACUAAUACCGCAUGAAGCAGGGGCCCCGCAUGGGGAUAUUUGCUAAAGAUUCAUCGCUGAUAGAUAGGCAUGCGUUCCAUUAGGCAGUUGGCGGGGUAACGGCCCACCAAACCGACGAUGGAUAGGGGUUCUGAGAGGAAGGUCCCCCACAUUGGUACUGAGACACGGACCAAACUCCUACGGGAGGCAGCAGUGAGGAAUAUUGGUCAAUGGGCGUAAGCCUGAACCAGCCAAGUCGCGUGAGGGAUGAAGGUUCUAUGGAUCGUAAACCUCUUUUAUAAGGGAAUAAAGUGCGGGACGUGUCCCGUUUUGUAUGUACCUUAUGAAUAAGGAUCGGCUAACUCCGUGCCAGCAGCCGCGGUAAUACGGAGGAUCCGAGCGUUAUCCGGAUUUAUUGGGUUUAAAGGGUGCGUAGGCGGCCUUUUAAGUCAGCGGUGAAAGUCUGUGGCUCAACCAUAGAAUUGCCGUUGAAACUGGGGGGCUUGAGUAUGUUUGAGGCAGGCGGAAUGCGUGGUGUAGCGGUGAAAUGCUUAGAUAUCACGCAGAACCCCGAUUGUGAAGGCAGCCUGCCAAGCCAUGACUGACGCUGAUGCACUAAAGCGUGGGGAUCAAACAGGAUUAGAUACCCUGGUAGUCCACGCAGUAAACGAUGAUCACUAGCUGUUUGCGAUACAGUGUAAGCGGCACAGCGAAAGCGUUAAGUGAUCCACCUGGGGAGUACGCCGGCAACGGUGAAACUCAAAGGAAUUGACGGGGGCCCGCACAAGCGGAGGAACAUGUGGUUUAAUUCGAUGAUACGCGAGGAACCUUACCCGGGUUUGAACGCAUUCGGACCGAGGUGGAAACACCUCUUCUAGCAAUAGCCGUUUGCGAGGUGCUGCAUGGUUGUCGUCAGCUCGUGCCGUGAGGUGUCGGCUUAAGUGCCAUAACGAGCGCAACCCUUGCCACUAGUUACUAACAGGUGAUGCUGAGGACUCUGGUGGGACUGCCAGCGUAAGCUGCGAGGAAGGCGGGGAUGACGUCAAAUCAGCACGGCCCUUACAUCCGGGGCGACACACGUGUUACAAUGGCGUGGACAAAGGGAUGCCACCUGGCGACAGGGAGCGAAUCCCCAAACCACGUCUCAGUUCGGAUCGGAGUCUGCAACCCGACUCCGUGAAGCUGGAUUCGCUAGUAAUCGCGCAUCAGCCAUGGCGCGGUGAAUACGUUCCCGGGCCUUGUACACACCGCCCGUCAAGCCAUGGGAGCCGGGGGUACCUGAAGUCCGUAACCGCGAGGAUCGGCCUAGGGUAAAACUGGUGACUGGGGCUAAGUCGUAACAAGGUA
rnacentral:rRNA from 1 species